rnacentral:rRNA from 1 species
UACGUAGGGUGCGAGCGUUAAUCGGAAUUACUGGGCGUAAAGCGUGAGCAGGCGGUUGUGCAAGACAGAUGUUAAAUCCCCGGGCUUAACCUGGGAACUGCAUUUGUGACUGCACGGCUAGAGUGUGUCAGAGGGGGGUAGAAUUCCACGUGUAGCAGUGAAAUGCGUAGAUAUGUGGAGGAAUACCGAUGGCGAAGGCAGCCCCCUGGGAUAACACUGACGCUCAUGCACGAAAGCGUGGGGAGCAAACAGG